rnacentral:lncRNA from 1 species
GAUUGGCUUGACUUGAGUUCAUCUGUGAAUCUUGUAGAAACUCUUUUCUAGUACUCACCCUUACUCUAGUCAAAAAUUUUCUAAACUCAGUCUUGCAAAUCACAUAGGACUUCUCCUUUUCUAUUAAGAUCGAUAGAUUUUAUUCAGGUGCAUUCUACUCUAAAUAGCGAACCUGAACCUACAAUAGCUAACAUACACAGCAAG